rnacentral:rRNA from 1 species
UACGAAGGACCCAAGCGUUAUCCGGAUUUAUUGGGUUUAAAGGGUGCGUAGGCGGGUUAUUAAGUCAGUGGUGAAAGCCUGCAGCUUAACUGCAGAACUGCCAUUGAUACUGAUGAUCUUGAGUAUGAUUGAGGUGGGCGGAAUGUGUCAUGUAGCGGUGAAAUGCUUAGAUAUGACAUAGAACACCGAUAGCGAAGGCAGCUUACUACAGGAUGAUUGACGCUGAGGCACGAAAGCGUGGGGAGCAAACAGG